rnacentral:rRNA from 1 species
GACGAACGCUGGCGGCGUGCUUAACACAUGCAAGUCGAACGGAAAGGCCCUGCUUUUGUGGGGUGCUCGAGUGGCGAACGGGUGAGUAACACGUGAGUAACCUGCCCUUGACUUUGGGAUAACUUCAGGAAACUGGGGCUAAUACCGGAUAGGAGCUCCUGCUGCAUGGUGGGGGUUGGAAAGUUUCGGCGGUUGGGGAUGGACUCGCGGCUUAUCAGCUUGUUGGUGGGGUAGUGGCUUACCAAGGCUUUGACGGGUAGCCGGCCUGAGAGGGUGACCGGCCACAUUAGGACUGAGAUACGGCCCAGACUCCUACGGGAGGCAGCAGUGGGGAAUAUUGCACAAUAGGCGGAAGCCAGAUGCAGCAACGCCGCGUGCGGGAUGACGGCCUUCGGGUUGUAAACCGCUUUCGCCUGUGACGAAGCGUGAGUGACGAUAAUGGGUAAAGAAGCACGGGCUAACUACGUG